rnacentral:rRNA from 1 species
AGGGAUGAAGGUGCUCUGCAUUGUAAACCUCUGUAGUCGGGGAAAAACGGCGGGUUAUUACCCGUUUGAUGGUACCCGAAAAGUAAGGAUCGGCUAACUACGUGC